rnacentral:rRNA from 1 species
GACGAACGCUGGUGGCGUGCUUAACACAUGCAAGUCGAACGGUGAAGGCGGAGCUUGCUCUGCCGGAUCAGUGGCGAACGGGUGAGUAACACGUGGGCAACCUGCCCCUCACUUCGGGAUAACUCCGGGAAACCGGGGCUAAUACCGGCUACGACCUCCUUGGUCAUCUUUGGAGGUGGAAAGUUUUUCGGUGAGGGAUGGGCCCGCGGCCUAUCAGCUUGUUGGUGAGGUAGUGGGUCACCAAGGCGACGACGGGUAGCCGGCCUGAGAGGGCGACCGGCCACACUGGGACUGAGACACGGCCCAGACUCCUACGGGAGGCAGCAGUGGGGAAUAUUGCGCAAUGGGCGAAAGCCUGACGCAGCAACGCCGCGUGCGGGAUGAAGGCCUUCGGGUUGUAAACCGCCUUCAGCAGGGAAGAAGCCGCAAGGUGACGGUACCUGCAGAAGAAGCACCGGCUAACUACGUGCCAGCCGCCGCCGUAA